rnacentral:rRNA from 1 species
UACAGAGGUGGCUAGCGUUGUUCGGAUUGAUUGGGUGUAAAGGGUGCGUAGGCGGUUUGGAAAGUCGGAUGUGAAAUCCUAUGGCUUAACCAUAGAAUUGCAUUCGAAACUUCUAGACUAGAGUGCGAGAGAGGUAAAGGGAAUUCCCGGUGUAAGGGUGAAAUCUGUAGAGAUCGGGAGGAACACCAGUAGCGAAGGCGCUUUACUGGCUCGUAACUGACGCUGAGUGCACGAAAGCAUAAAAAGCAAACGAG